GUAACUAUAGCAUAAUGGUAAUGCACUGUACUUCUAAUACAGAUUAUGAAAGUUCGAAUCUUUCUAGUUAUU
rnacentral:tRNA from 1 species